rnacentral:lncRNA from 1 species
AUUCUUGUCCUUUUUCUUUUCACAGGCAAGGGAUCCAAAUAGGUCAAAGGUCCAAAAAUGGAGUUUGAACCAAAAGCCCCUGCCUGCCAGAACUGAAUUCCACUGGGCAUAUGAUAUUACAUGAAUUUUAUCAGAAGAAAGAUAUCCAUUGAAAUCCUAUCACCGUGUACACAGGAACAGAGAACCCCAUUGCUCCUGGAAAGGUGAAGCGUCAAUCUGCACGGCAGCUCUGUAUCUUCUGUGUGGCUUCUGAAUGAGGUGGGCAGAGAGAUGGAUGGGCUCAUGCAUCAGCGUUAUCACGCAGGUGAGUCACGGCGAGUGAAGCAAGAGAGACG